GAACGCGAAGAACCUUACCCGGGCUUGAAUUGCAGCUGAACGAUCCAGAGAUGGUGAGGCCCUUCGGGGCAGCUGUGAAGGUGCUGCAUGGUUGUCGUCAGCUCGUGCCGUGAGGUGUCGGCUUAAGUGCCAUAACGAGCGCAACCCCUCUCCGCAGUUGCCAUCGGUUGAUGCCGGGCACUCUGCGGACACUGCCUCCGCAAGGAGUGAGGAAGGUGGGGAUGACGUCAAAUCAGCACGGCCCUUACGUCCGGGGCUACACACGUGUUACAAUGGCGCGUACAGAGUGUCGGUGCUGUGCAAACAGUAUCUAAUCAAUAAAACGCGUCCCAGUUCGGACCGGGGUCUGCAACCCGACCCCGCGAAGCUGGAUUCGCUAGUAAUCGCGCAUCAGCCAUGGCGCGGUGAAUACGUUCCCGGGUCUUGUACACACC
rnacentral:rRNA from 1 species